GAUGAACGCUGGCGGCGUGCCUAAUACAUGCAAGUCGAGCGAACGGACGAGAAGCUUGCUUCUCUGAUGUUAGCGGCGGACGGGGGAGUAACACGUGGAUAACCUACCUAUAAGACUGGGAUAACUUCGGGAAACCGGAGCUAAUACCGGAUAAUAUUUUGAACCGCAUGGUUCAAAAGUGAAAGACGGUCUUGCUGUCACUUAUAGAUGGAUCCGCGCUGCAUUAGCUAGUUGGUAAGGUAACGGCUUACCAAGGCAACGAUGCAUAGCCGACCUGAGAGGGUGAUCGGCCACACUGGAGCUGAGACACGGUCCAGACUCCUACGGGAGGCAGCAGUAGGGAAUCUUCCGCAAUGGGCGAAAGCCUGACGGAGCAACGCCGCGUGAGUGAUGAAGGUCUUCGGAUCGUAAAACUCUGUUAUUAGGGAAGAACAUAUGUGUAAGUAACUGUGCACAUCUUGACGGUACCUAAUCAGAAAGCCACGGCUAACUACGUG
rnacentral:rRNA from 1 species